rnacentral:tRNA from 1 species
GGUUGUGGCUUAGUGGUACAACACUCACCUAGCAUGUGUGAGGCACUGGGUUCAAUCCCCAGCACCA